rnacentral:rRNA from 1 species
AUUGAACGCUGGCGGCAGGCCUAACACAUGCAAGUCGAGCGGAUGAAGGGAGCUUUCUCCUGGCUUCAGCUGCGGACGGGUGAGUAAUUCCUAGGAAUCUGCCUUAUAUAUGGGGAUAACGUCCGUACAGGGGCGCUAAUAUCGCAUACGACCUGAUUUUGAAAGUCGGGGAUCUUCGGACCUCACCCUAUCAGCUGAGCCUAGGUUGGAUUAGCUAGUUGGUGGGGUAAAGGCCUACCAAGGCGACGAUCCAUAACUGGUCUGAGAGGAUGAUCAGUCACACUGGAACUGAGACACGGUCCAGACUCCUACGGGAGGCAGCAGUGGGGAAUAUUGGACAAUGGGCGAAAGCCUGAUCCAGCAAUGCCGCGUGUGUGAAGAAGGUCUUCGGAUUGUAAAGCACUUUAAGUUGGGAGGAAGAGCAGUAAGUUAAUACCUUGCUGUUUUGACGUUACCAACACAAUAAGCACCGGCUAACUUCGUG